rnacentral:lncRNA from 1 species
AAACCUAAACUCACCACCACCGCUACCGCCAGGAUGGUUCUCGAAGACUAACUGAAUAUUAGCACCACCGGCCCUCAUAGUACUCAUAUAGUUGUUGAGGAAAGCGAAAGGAUCGAAUUGAUUGGGGGAUCGACUGGGGAAGGCGGCACCGCCGGCACCACCAGCGAUACUGCUCAAUAGCGCGGAGAGAUCAUCGAAAGCGACGGCACCGCCGGCAGGGGAAGCGGCACUGGAGGAGAAAACAAUCGGAAAGCCACCGCCGCCGAAGGGGAGGUCAUCGGUAGUGGCGGCGGA